AAGGACGCAACGAACAGGGUGACGAAGCCGAACUGAAUGACUGCAGGGAGAACACGGAGGGUCAGCAGUGCAGCUGUGCUGCGCCCUGCACCCCCCCGAGGGGCAUCCUGCACACCGUCAGCAAUGCAGCUGUAAGGUGCCCUACCCCUAGUGUGAUUCAGACCAGGGCUGCCUGGUACCCUGCCUCAAAGGAGCCCACUUUGCACGGAUCUGCUUACAAGUACAUGGGGCCUCUUGGGAGAGAGCCACUACCAUCUGGGACAAUGUCCAGGUCUAGGGAACUGAAGACAGAAAUCACUGUGUCUGGAAUUCGACAU
rnacentral:lncRNA from 1 species